UUUGAGCUUGAUCUUGAAUCUAUGUUUGUUGCCACGAACGAUGAUCUUGUUCUUGAGCUUGAUCUUGAUUGCUUGGACUUGAACUUGAUUUGGUCUUCUUUCUUGAGCUUGAACUUGCUUUGUUCUUCGUUCUUGAGCUUGAACUUAAUUUCUUGAAAUUGAACUUGAAGCUCGAAACUUGUGGAGGAAUUUGCAGUAUUUGAUCCACAAGCUCUU
rnacentral:lncRNA from 1 species